AACAGUAGGGUAGAUCUCUGCGGUGUAGAUGUAGACCACGGUGAACGACAUUGUGAAGGCAAACUUCCCAACCAUCUCCACAGCUAUAGCAACACCUUGCAGAUCUACAGGACAGAGAAAGACAUUGAGAUACAUCGUCUCUCAGUAUGGCCUCAGCCUCCUCUACUCUUCCCUGAGAGUAUAGCCAACGUGGAGACUCUGGGAUGAACCUAACAUAGACAGUGUUUAUAGUGAGGUAGAGGACGGAACACAGUGAUUGCAGGGAGAAACAGUACCUGUCAGAAAGCUGCCCAGACAACAGGGAUCCAAUCAGGAAACCCACAAAAAGAGUCGACGAGGCAAAAGGAGUUUUCCACUCAUUGUCACAUACAAGGUCCCACUGCAGGAAAACAAACCCAUUAUUCCUGAAGUGACAGCACCUGUGGCAGCAGAAGGCUCUAGUAACAAACCCAUGCUGAAAAACAACAUUUCAUUUGCCCCAAAAGUGUAAGAGAAGGACAGGAGCUGGGGAUGUUGCACAUUUUCACUGAUGCCAAUGGAAGUUUCAGGAAAUUACCAAAGCCGUUAACACCUCCCCAGUGACUUUGAUCACUCAACAAUUCCCAAUACUGUAAUUCCAAAUCAAAUAUCAGUGGCAUGUUUGAUUAGAUACUCAUGAUUCUGGUAAUUAUCUAAGCAAGAAACAUACUAGGUGUAGUACUACCAAUUCACUACUUCAUGGCCAAAUGUUUGUGACACAUGACUGCCCUGGGCAACAUAUACUCACCUCAGUGACUAUGGUGGACUGGUAUAUAUCUUUGCUGUAGCUCCAUCCAU